GAUGAACGCUGGCGGCGUGCCUAAUACAUGCAAGUCGAGCGAACAGAUGAGGAGCUUGCUCCUCUGACGUUAGCGGCGGACGGGCGAGUAACACGUGGAUAACCUACCUAUAAGACUGGGAUAACUUCGGGAAACCGGAGCUAAUACCGGAUAAUAUAUUGAACGGCAUGGUUCAAUAGUGAAUGAGGGCUUUCCCGUCACUAAUAGAUGGAUCCGCGCUGCAUUAGCUAGUUGGUAAGGUAACGGCCCACCAAGGCAACGAUGCGUAGCCGACCUGAGAGGGUGAACAGCCAACCUGGGACUGAGACACGGUCCAGACUCCCACGGGAGGCAGCAGUAGGGAAUCUUCCGCAAUGGGCGAAAGCCUGACGGAGCCACGCCGCGUGAGUUAAGAAGGGCUUCCGAUCGUAAAACUCUGUUAUUAGGGAAGAACAAAUGUGUAAGUAACUAUGCACGUCUUUACGGUACCUAAACAGAAAGCCACGGCUAACUACGUU
rnacentral:rRNA from 1 species